GUCUACGGCCAUACCACUCUGAACGCGCCCGAUCUCGUCUGAUCUCGGAAGCUAAGCGGGGUUGGGCCUGGUUAGUACUUGGAUGGGAGACUGGGUGCAGCACACC
ensembl:rRNA 5S_rRNA 5S ribosomal RNA